rnacentral:rRNA from 1 species
CUGGCUCAGAACGAACGCUGGCGGCGUGCUUAACACAUGCAAGUCGAAACGGCGAAAGGGGACUUCGGGUCCUGAGUAAAGUGGCGCACGGGUGAGUAACGCGUAGAUAACCUGUCUUUAUGUCUGGAAUAAUACGCCGAAAGGGGUACUAAUACCGGAUAUUUUUUGCAUUGCAUAAGCAGUGUAAGCAAAGGUGGCCUCUGACAUAAGCUACUGCAUAAAGAGGGGUCUGCGUACCAUUAGCUAGUAGGUGGGGUAAAGGCCUACCUAGGCUACGAUGGUUAGCGGGUCUGAGAGGAUGAUCCGCCACACUGGCACUGGAACACGGGCCAGACUCCUACGGGAGGCAGCAGUGAGGAAUAUUGCGCAAUGGGGGCAACCCUGACGCAGCGACGCCGCGUGAGUGAAGGGAAGGCCUUCGGGUCGUAAAGCUCUGUCAAAGGGAAAGAAGUGCAUGGUGGUUAAUACCUGCCAUGUUUGACGGUACCCUUAAAGGAAGCACCGGCUAACUCCGUGCCAGCAGCUGC